rnacentral:rRNA from 2 species
AGAGUUUGAUCCUGGCUCAGAACAAACGCUGGCGGCGUGCCUAACACAUGCAAGUCGUACGAGAAAGUCCGCUUCGGUGGAUGAGUAAAGUGGCGCACGGGUGAGUAACGCGUGGAUAAUCUACCCUUUAGUCUGGAAUAACUUAUCGAAAGGUGAACUAAUACCGGAUAAUAUCCCGAUUUCUUCGGCGAUCGGGAUCAAAGAAGGCCUCUGCUUGCAAGCUUUCACUGAAGGAUGAGUCCGCGUACCAUUAGCUAGUUGGCAGGGUAAUGGCCUACCAAGGUUAUGAUGGUUAGCUGGUCUGAGAGGAUGAUCAGCCACACUGGAACUGAAACACGGUCCAGACUCCUACGGGAGGCAGCAGUGAGGAAUAUUGCGCAAUGGGGGCAACCCUGACGCAGCAACGCCGCGUGAGUGAGGAAGGUUUUCGGAUUGUAAAGCUCUGUCGAGCGGAAAGAAGUGCAUGGUGGUUAAUAUCCAUCAUGCUUGACGGUACCGCUAAAGGAAGCACCGGCUAACUCCGUGCCAGCAGCCGCGGUAAUACGGGGGGUGCAAGCGUUGUUCGGAAUCAUUGGGCGUAAAGCGCGUGUAGGCGGCUGGACAAGUCAGAUGUGAAAGCCCUGGGCUUAACCCAGGAAGUGCAUUUGAAACUGUUCAGCUAGAGUAAGGGAGAGGAAAGUGGAAUUCCUGGUGUAGAGGUGAAAUUCGUAGAUAUCAGGAGGAACACCGGUGGCGAAGGCGACUUUCUGGCCCUAUACUGACGCUGAGACGCGAAAGCGUGGGUAGCAAACAGGAUUAGAUACCCUGGUAGUCCACGCUGUAAACGAUGUUCACUAGGUGUUGGGGGUAUUGACCCUUCCAGUGCCGCAGCUAACGCAUUAAGUGAACCGCCUGGGGAGUACGGUCGCAAGAUUAAAACUCAAGGAAUUGACGG